GCCAGGCCAGGGUGGCGCAUGCCUGUAAUCCCAGCAGCUCUGGAGGCUGAGACAGGAGAAUUGCAAGUGCAAAGUCAGCUUCAGUAGCAGCCAGGCGCUAAGAAACUCAGUGAAACCCUGUCUCUA
rnacentral:sRNA from 1 species